rnacentral:misc_RNA from 1 species
CACAUAUAAAAUAUACCUGGGAAAAUUCGAAAGAAAAGUACUCAGGCGUAUUCUUAUACCCAUGUCUUUUGCGUACUACUUGUUUCCUUGGUAGGCUUGCCUGCCAUUAGGACACCCACAAAAACCUUUUGUAAUUGCAAUCAGCGUCAGAAAAUAACUUAAUAGUUA